ensembl:lncRNA
CCCUUAUCGAUUUCCUUGUGGUUUGGUUUGGCCAAUGGAGGCAGAGGUGAGACGUAGGGGCCGUGGAGAGAGUAGGUCUUUCCUUCUCCUUGUGCUUCAGGCAGUGUCUCCAGUAGUGGCUGCAUCUUUUUUUGUGACUCCAACUGCAGACAGACCGCCCCUCCCUUGGUGGUCUCAGUUUCUGCUGGCAAGUCCUGGCUCUUGGGCUGGUGUGUUGGUUAUCCAUUGUUGCAUAAUAAAUUACCUUGAAACUUCACAGCUUAAAACAACAGGCAUUUCACUAUCUUACCCAGUUCCCAAAGUUUAAUAAUCUGAGAGUGACUUAACCAGGUGGUUCUGGCUCAUGGUCUCUCAUGAGGUUGCAGUCAAGAUAUUGGCUGGAGCUACAGUCAUCUCAAGGCUAGCGUACGGCUGGAGGAUUGAUUUCCUAGUUGACUCACAUGGUUGUUGGCAGGACAUAGCUUCUAGCUGGCCAUUGGCCAGAGGCUUGAGUAUUCUUCCAGGUGGCCUUCUCCUUAGAGCUAUAUACAACGUGGCAGCUUGCUUCUCCAACAGGGAGUUAUCCAAGAGAUGGAGAUGGAGAUGGAGAGAGAGAGAGACCGGGAUGGAAGCUGAAGUCUUUUUAAUAACCUAAUCUCAGAAGUAACAUACAUCAUUUCUGGCACAUGAGGUUGCUCACACAGACCAACUGUGAUAGAGUGUGUGUGUGUUUGGGGGAGGGGCUACACAAGUGUGAAUACCAGGAGGCAAGGAUAAUUGAGAACUACCUUGGAGGCUGGCUACCACAGUCCAUCCUCUGGUCCCGUGAUUCAUGUUCCUCCCACAUGCAAAAUAUACUCACUUCCUCCCCAAGUCAUCAAAAGUCUCAUCUCAUCACAGUUUCAGCUUGAAAUCCAACAUCUCCUCAUCACUCCUUGAGGCUCCUUGAGUGUAGUUCCUUAAAUAUAGCUACUUGAAUAUAGUUCCUCUCCCCCUGUGAAACUAAAUGACAACUUAUGUGCUCCUCCAUACACCCAACACACAAUGGUGAGUCAGGUGUAACAGGGUAACCGUUACCGACGAUCCUAUUCAAAGAGAGGGAAAAUGGCAGGCACAGAGGAGUCACUGGCCCAUUAUAGUUCUGAAAUCCAGCUGAACAAAUGUUGAACAAACCUUAAUUAAGUCUCAAAACCUGGGAGUAAUUCUCCCUGGCUCUCAGAUCCAUGUUCUGGAGUCUUGGUUCCGACCCCUGAGUCAUCCCCCGACACGCCCUUUUAUAAUGAAAGAUAGCCCAUGCUUACUGUCUCAGCCUACUUCUUGCCAGUGGAACUUGAGGGUCCAAAGGGUUCUUCUCGCUUUGCUUUCUAUACCCCUUUCAGUCCAAGGUGGCAAUGUUUCUGCAUAAGUAUUUAUUUUUUAAAUGCUAUGAGUCUUACAUGAAUGUUAUUGGG